rnacentral:rRNA from 1 species
CCUACGGGGGGCAGCAGUGGGGAAUAUUGGACAAUGGGGGCAACCCUGAUCCAGCCAUGCCGCGUGUGUGAAGAAGGCCCUCGGGUGGUAAAGCACUUUCAGUGAGGAAGAACGCCUGGUGGUUAAUACCCAUCAGGAAAGACAUCACUCACAGAAGAAGCACCGGCUAACUCCGUGCCAGCAGCCGCGGUAAUACGGAGGGUGCGAGCGUUAAUCGGAAUUACUGGGCGUAAAGCGCGCGUAGGUGGCUUGAUAAGCCGGUUGUGAAAGCCCCGGGCUCAACCUGGGAACGGCAUCCGGAACUGUCAAGCUAGAGUGCAGGAGAGGAAGGUAGAAUUCCCGGUGUAGCGGUGAAAUGCGUAGAGAUCGGGAGGAAUACCAGUGGCGAAGGCGGCCUUCUGGACUGACACUGACACUGAGGUGCGAAAGCGUGGGUAGCAAACAGGAUUAGAUACCCCGGUAGUC